rnacentral:lncRNA from 1 species
CUUAAUUUUUAUGUUUAUUUUUUACAUUUUUCUAGAAGCGUCUUCUACAUCCUCUCAUUUGCAAAGCACCAAUGAUUUUGCAUGGGCCCACCCAAUCUUGCCUCGGUCGGGAGAUGUAAAAUCAAAUGUUGAGUUGGAUUAAAGAAGCCUGGUGGAAACAUCUUCUCUAACUUGCAAAGCAACUCCGGCGCCAACUCCUCCAUGUCACCUACCACGUCAAGCGAUAGUUCUUUCACACAAAGAACAUGGAAGAAAUAGCUCACUCUGUCAGUACUAGACAUUCAUCCUCGGGAAUAAGCCACGUAACAUCACCAACAUUACCCGCUCAAGCCAUAUGUGCCAAUCAUGACUCUUGAGACCAAAUAUUUUCAAUUUUUCAAGACUCGGUCCCUCUUUAGAUUCGCUGCUUACCCAUCACGGAACAUCAAGUGCAUUCUGACCCACAAGAUAAUUUACCUCAUAGCUGACCUUCCAAGAUUGAACCAGACCUUUGGCUUUGACCAGUUCUGCUUUCCUUUCGAUUGUCGCAAGUUUUGUAACGGUCUAUCACAUAGAGUGUAUUGAUCGACUCUAGUCUUAGGAUUUUCCUUUGACUUCCCCUCUGUGUCGAACAAUGUACCAAAAAUUGCCUCUCCGAUAUUAUUUUCAGUGUGCAUCAUGUUGAUGUUAUGUGGAAGAAGGAGGUCUUUGAAGUAAGGUAGAUCCCACAAGCAUGUCUUGUGAGUCCAAGCAUGUUUUGAAUUAUACCCCUUGAAAUACCCUGGACGCUCUAGAUCAGGCUCGAGAGCA